rnacentral:ncRNA from 2 species
CAAGCAGUCAAAGCGCCAGAACUGUCUGAUCAUACAGGCAGUUGACGAGGUGGAGGUUCAUCGAAUGAUUCGGCGGAUGCCUCCCGGCUGACACACAGUCGACAGGCAUGACCCCAAACCGCAGAGGUGACUCUGUGAACAACGGGUGAUGCAACCGUGUAA